AAUCCGAGCAAAAUAAAUAUGUACAGAAAGCUAAUGACAUGAAAAACAACCCAGUGACAUUAGAUGAUACUCAAAGAACAAAAUUGGUUGAUCAGCAUAUGAAACUUUUAGCUGAGGAGUUCAGUUACUUGGAGUAUCUUGGUUGCCAGGCCAGCUGCUUACUGGUGAAUGGAAAAAAAGAACUUUAUGUCCUUGGUUCAUCAGGAGGAAAAAGAUUUGUUCACAAUGAACCAGCAGUUUUGUGCAAGUUUCAAGCAAUGUUUGAUGUAGACCGAGAAAAACAGAAAUGGACUCAUGAGGAUGUAAGAAUGCUCUUUAACAAGAAGUAUAGUAAGUUAAUUUUUUAUUUAUUCUUGUACGCAGGUCUUCACCAUUGAGA